rnacentral:rRNA from 1 species
GACGAACGCUGGCGGCGUGCUUAACACAUGCAAGUCGAACGGAAAGGCCUGCUUUCCCUUGUGGAUUGCGGGUACUCGAGUGGCGAACGGGUGAGUAACACGUGAGUGAUCUGCCCCCAACUUGGGUAUAAGCCUGGGAAACUGGGUCUAAUUCCCGAUAGGACUGCAGGGUGGUGCCUGUGGUGGAAAACGAUUUUCUAGUGGUUGGGGAUGAGCUCGCGGCCUUUCAGCUUGUUGGUGGGGUAAUGGCCUACCAAGGCGGCGACGGGUUGCCGGCCUGGGAGGGUGGCCGGCCCCAUUGGGACUGAGUUCCGGCCCAGACUCCUACGGGAGGCAGCAGUGGGGAAUAUUGCACAAUGGGCGGAAGCCUGAUGCAGCGACGCCGCGUGGGGGAUGACGGCCUUCGGGUUGUAAACUCCUUUCGACCGCGAGGAAGCCACCUGGUUGGAAGGGUGGUGACGGUAGUGGUAGAAGAAGCACCGGCUAACUACGUG